rnacentral:rRNA from 1 species
GUGGGGAAUAUUGGACAAUGGGCGAAAGCCUGAUCCAGCCAUGCCGGGUGUGUGAAGAAGGUCUUCGGAUUGUAAAGCACUUUAAGUUGGGAGGAAGGGCAGUAAGUUAAUACCUUGCUGUUUUGACGUUACCGACAGAAUAAGCACCGGCUAACUUCGUGCCAGCAGCCGCGGUAAUACGAAGGGUGCAAGCGUUAAUCGGAAUUACUGGGCGUAAAGCGCGCGUAGGUGGUUUUGUAAGUUGGAGGUGAAAUCCCCGGGCUCAACCUGGGAACUGCCUCCAAAACUGCAUGACUAGAGUACGGUAGAGGGUAGUGGAAUUUCCUGUGUAGCGGUGAAAUGCGUAGAUAUAGGAAGGAACACCAGUGGCGAAGGCGACUACCUGGACUGAUACUGACACUGAGGUGCGAAAGCGUGGGGAGCAAACAGGAUUAGAAACCCGGGUAGUCC